GUCUCUGUGGCGCAAUUGGUUAGCGCGUUAGACUGUUAAUCUAAAGGUUGGUGGUUCGAGCCCACCCAGACGACA